rnacentral:misc_RNA from 1 species
AACUGAUACUACCUGCGGGAACCUGCGGAAGGAUCAUUACAGGACUCGCAAGACUCCUACAACCCUGUGAACCUACUAUACGAACGUUGCUUCGGCGGGUGCGCCCCGGGGAUUCGUUCCCGCGGCGCGUCAGCCCGCCGGCAGCCUACAAAUUCUGUUUCUUUGCGUUGGCAUCUCGAGAAAAACAAAUAAGUUAAAACUUUUAACAAUGGAUCUCU